CUACCAAUAAAAAAUGUUAAGUUUUUUCUCUAUUUGUCCUUGUUUGGAAAGGAGUCCCCCAUUCUAUCCGAUGCAAUACAGCAGAUCCCCUCCUACACUUCAUCAGCACAAACAGCACAUUUACUCCAGGGUUUUUUUUCUAGCAAUAUCAUUGUUAUCAAUAGAGAUCUGUCUCCCAAGCACAAUAUUGACAGCCCACAUGUCUGUUACAAUGAACACAACUAAAAGCAGAGUAUAUAGCUAACAAGAGAACAUAAAUAAUGUGCUAAUAUCACCCUGGCUGCCCAUAUUCAUCCACUCCCCCAUCUAGCUCCCAGCACAACCCACAGACACCGACUCCGUGGAGCACAAGGAUUAGCAAAGAAUAUGUUGAUGAGAAAGAGAUGAGCUCACAUCAGAGGGCGUCCUGUUCCUCAGCUCCAGCCGUAUCCUUCACCAUGAUGCCGUCCCUUCACCCAUCUCGGCCAGUGACUUCCAAACUCCCAAAACUGGGGAAGCCGGUUCUUGCAGAGAAUAAUCGACCCAACAAGGUGAGACAGAGGCUGAACAGCAAUCAACAGUUAUGUGGACCUGACAGGGGACUGAAGUAUAUCUUU